AACCUCCGCAAUGUGAGAAAUCGCGACGGGGGGAUCCCAAGUGCCAUUCUUAACGGGAUGGCUUUUCAUUAGUGUAAAGAGCUUUUGGAAUAAGGGCUGGGCAAGACCGGUGCCAGCCGCCGCGGUAACACCGGCAGCUCUAGUGGUAGCUGUUUUUAUUGGGCCUAAAGCGUCCGUAGCCGGUUUAAUAAGUCUCUGGUGAAAUCCUGUAGCUUAACUGUGGGAAUUGCUGGAGAUACUAUUAGACUUGAGACCGGGAGAGGUUAGAGGUACUCCCAGGGUAGAGGUGAAAUUCUGUAAUCCUGGGAGGACCGUCUGUUGCGAAGGCGUCUAACUGGAACGGUUCUGACGGUGAGGGACGAAAGUUAGGGGCGCGAACCGGAUUAGAUACCCGGGUAGUCCUAACUGUAAACGAUGCGGACUUGGUGUUGGGGUGGCUUUGAGCUGCUCCAGUGCCGAAGGGAAGCUGUUAAGUCCGCCGCCUGGGAAGUACGGUCGCAAGACUGAAACUUAAAGGAAUU
rnacentral:rRNA from 1 species